UAUGUAUGUAUGUGACCAAGCCCACUCAGU
rnacentral:piRNA from 1 species